rnacentral:rRNA from 1 species
GAGUUUGAUCGUGGCUCAGGAUGAACGCUGGCGGCGUGCUUAACACAUGCAAGUCGAACGAAGCGCCUUAUUUGAUUUUCUUCGGAACUGAAGAUUUGGUGACUGAGUGGCGGACGGGUGAGUAACGCGUGGGUAACCUGCCCUGUACAGGGGGAUAACAAUCAGAAAUGACUGCUAAUACCGCAUAAGACCACAGCACCGCAUGGUGCAGGGGUAAAAACUCCGGUGGUACAGGAUGGACCCGCGUCUGAUUAGCUGGUUGGUGAGGUAACGGCUCACCAAGGCGACGAUCAGUAGCCGGCUUGAGAGAGUGAACGGCCACAUUGGGACUGAGACACGGCCCAAACUCCUACGGGAGGCAGCAGUGGGAAUAUGCACAAUGGGGAAACCCUGAUGCAGCAACGCCGCGUGAGUGAAGAAGUAUUUCGGUAUGU